GAUGGAGAGGGAGACUGAUCUCACAAGCCAAUUGUGUAAGACAAUAAUACAAAGAUGUGGAUGCUCAUUAGAGAAUGAGUUCACUGAAUUGUUUUGACUUAAAAAAUAUCUUAUGGAAUCUAUUUACCCAUUAAAAGAUGUUUUCUUAUAAUGUGAGUUGUGCAUGUAAUCUUUUGACCUGAGACUACAAUAGAAUCUUAU
rnacentral:lncRNA from 1 species